GAUGAACGCUAGCGGCAGGCUUAACACAUGCAAGUCGAGGGGUAUAGUUCUUCGGAACUAGAGACCGGCGCACGGGUGCGUAACGCGUAUGCAAUCUACCUUUUGCAGAGGGAUAGCCCAGAGAAAUUUGGAUUAAUACCUCAUAGUAUGUGAGAAUGGCAUCAUUUUCACAUUAAAGUCACAACGGCAAAAGAUGAGCAUGCGUCCCAUUAGCUAGUUGGUAAGGUAACGGCUUACCAAGGCAACGAUGGGUAGGGGUCCUGAGAGGGAGAUCCCCCACACUGGUACUGAGACACGGUCCAGACUCCUACGGGAGGCAGCAGUGGGGAAUUUUGGACAAUGGGCGCAAGCCUGAUCCAGCCAUGCCGCGUGCAGGAUGAAGGCCCUCUGGGUUGUAAACUGCUUUUCUACGGGAAUAAACCCCUUUACGUGUAAAGGGCUGAAGGUACCGUAGGAAUAAGCACCGGCUAACUCCGUGCCAGCAGCCGCGGUAAUACGAGACG
rnacentral:rRNA from 1 species